UAGGUUGAAGUCUCUUGUGUAUCUCAAUCUUAAUGGUUGCUCAAACUUAGAGGCUUUUCCCGAAAUCUCCGAAAAUAUGAAUAGUUUACAAUGUCUUUUUUUGUGUGAAACGGCUAUAAAAGGGCUACCAUCAUCAAUUGAAAAUCUAGUUGAUCUUCGACUCUUGGUACUGGAUAAUUGCAAAAACCUUGCAACUCUUCCAAGCAGCCUUUAUCAUUUGAGACAUCUUACAACUCCCCGUCUUGCAAACUGUUCAAGACUCCAUAAACAUCCGGAGAAGUGGAACCUGGAAUCUUUAGGUAGUAUUGGUUCGCAAUUGGCUUCCUUGAAGAGGAUAUCUCUAAGAGGAGCAGAAAUCUGCAGCAUAUCUGUCGUCAUCACUCAACUUAGUAACCUGGAAUUUCUUAAUAUGAGCGACUGCAAGAUGCUUGAAGAAAUUCAAGGGCUUCCACAGAGUUUGGACAUGGAGAAAUAUUUGGAGCUGGAAAGCAGUUCCAUCCAAGGUUAUCUUUGUUUGGAUAAGACUAGUGCCAUUAAAGAAUUUCCCUCCUCAAUUGAUGAUCUCACCAAACUUGGGAAGUUAAGUUUGAAAAACGGGAAGAAGAGUCUUCCGAGUAACACUGGUAGGUUGAAAUUCCUAGAUGAACUCUAUGUCAGUGAUCAGCCAAACCUGGGGACUUCUCUGGAAUCACAGAUAACGGAAUAUCUUAAGGGGCUCAAACUGAACUUGCAGAGUUUUAAAAGCUUAGAGCACUUGUUUCUGAUGGAUGGAACAGUCGCCAAUAAUUUAUGGUGCCUAUCAUCAGUAAAAUAUUUAGAUCUAAGUGAAUCCAAUUUUCAUCACAUACCUGACGGUAUUACUGAAUGUUGUAAUCUGAAACGCCUUACUAUCCGUCACUGCAAGAAACUUAAAGAAAUUCCAAAGCUUCCAUCAAGCCUACUGAUGAUAGAUGCACGCGGCUGCACAGACCUGGGAACAUUAUCAACUCCAUCAAGUCUUCUCUGGUCUUCUCUCCUCGAAUGGUUCAAGAAAGUUCAGAGGAUGGAAAAUUUUAAGGGGCUCAAACUGGACUUGCAGAGUGUUAAAUGCUUAGAGCUCAUAUUUCUGAUGGAUGGAAGAAUCGCCAAUAAUUUAUGGGGCCUAUCAUCACUAAAAUCUUUAGAUCUAAGUGAAACCAGUAUUCAUCGCAUACCUGCUGGUAUUACUGGAUGUCGUAAUCUGGAAUUCCUUACCAUCCGUCACUGCAAGAAACUUAAAGAAAUUCCAAUGCUUCCAUCAAGCCUACUAAGCAUAGAUGCACGCGGCUGCACAGACCUGGGAACAUUAUCAACUCCAUCAAGUCUUCUCUGGUCUUCUCUCCAUAAAAGGGUCCAACUUCAGGAAUCACAGAGGAAGGAAAUUUUCAAGGGGUUCAAACUGGACUGGUGGAGUUUUCAAAGCUUAGAGAACUUGUUUCUGAUGGAUGGAGCAAUCGCCAAUAAUUUAUGGGGCCUAUCAUCACUAAAUUCUUUAGAUCUAAGUGAAUCCAAUUUUCAUCACAUACCUGAUGGUAUUACUGAAUGUUGUAAUCUGAAACGCCUUACUAUCCGUCACUGCAAGAAACUUAAAGAAAUUCCAAAGCUUCCAUCAAGCCUAGAAUGGAUAGAUGCACGCGGCUGCACAGACCUGGGAACAUUAUCAACUCCAUCAAAGCUUCCAUCAAGCCUAGAAUGGAUAGAUGCACGCGGCUGCACAGACCUGGGAACAUUAUCAACUCCAUCAAGUCUUCUCUGGUCUUCUCUCCUCGAAUGGUUCAAGAAAGUUCAGAGGAUGGAAAAUUUUAAGGGGCUCAAACUGGACUUGCAGAGUGUUAAAUGCUUAGAGCUCAUAUUUCUGAUGGAUGGAAGAAUCGCCAAUAAUUUAUGGGGCCUAUCAUCACUAAAAUCUUUAGAUCUAAGUGAAACCAGUAUUCAUCGCAUACCUGCUGGUAUUACUGGAUGUCGUAAUCUGGAAUUCCUUACCAUCCGUCACUGCAAGAAACUUAAAGAAAUUCCAAAGCUUCCAUCAAGCCUACUGAUGAUAGAUGCACGCGGCUGCACAGACCUGGGAACAUUAUCAACUCCAUCAAGUCUUCUCUGGUCUUCUCUCCAUAAAAGGGUCCAACUUCAGGAAUCACAGAGGAAGGAAAUUUUCAAGGGGUUCAAACUGGACUUGUGGAGUUUUCAAAGCGUAGAGAACUUGUUUCUGAUGGAUGGAGCAAUCGCCAAUAAUUUAUGGGGCCUAUCAUCACUAAAAUCUUUAGAUCUAAGUGAAACCAGUAUUCAUCGCAUACCUGAUGGUAUUACUGGAUGUUGUAAUCUGAAACACCUUAUCAUCCGUCACUGCAAGAAACUUAAAGAAAUUCCACAGCUUCCAUCAAGCCUAGAAUGGAUAGAUGCACGCGGCUGCACAGACCUGGGAACAUUAUCAACUCCAUCAAGUCUUCUCUGGUCUUCUCUCCUCAAAUGGUUCCAACUUCAGCUUCCUUACGGCAAGUACUGUAGGAGAAUUAUUCUUGGAAGUAAUGAAAUUCCAGAGUGGGUAUUGCAUCAGGAAAUGGGAAGCCAAAUAAGAAUAGAGCUUCCUAUGAAUUGGUAUCAGGAUGACCACUUCCUCGGAUUUGCAUUUUUCUGUCUUUGUUCAACAACGCAUCGUCUUGUGAUGAAUUGUCGUUUGACCUUCUGUGAGGAUUCAGAAAAAGACAUCAGGGAAUUUUGGUUUGAGCGCUUUGGAUACUUCACGAAUAUUGGUGAUAGUGAAUUUGAUGGACUGGGGGUGGAGUACUGUCCUAAGAUGGCUAUACUGAAAAGGUUCCACUCCAAGCAAUAUGUGCACCUUCAGGCUUCAUUUGAUUAUCAUCGAUAUGGUGGUUGGCGUGAUGACGUGGAAAGUGGUUGGGGUGAUGACGUGGAAAGUUGCGGGAUCCAUCUUAUAUACUCUCAAGAUCAUCAACAUAACCAUACCCCGUUGGGUUUUCAUGACACCCAACAUGAUGAACACUACCAUAUGCCCAUGUUGUUGAAUCUUCCUGAGAAUUCUGGUGACAAUAGAUUGGCAGCAGAAGAUAUCAAUGGUAAUUUUAAGAAAAGUUGCGAUGAUGCAGAACACGACCAAGCAGAGGAUUGAGAGAACCCAACACAGAUCUCAAGCUUCAAACUAAAUCAUAUCACCAGUUUGUAGAUAAAUAUCGAUCCAACCAGUGGAGGAACUUUAAGGCUUCAUUCGAGGGCUCUUAUCGAUGUGGCAAUAGCAGAGACCUUAAAACGAGAAGUUGUGGGAUCUAUCUUCAAUAUGCCCAAGGUCGUCAUCAUCAUCAUUAUCAGAACCAUUGGCUUCAGAUGCUGAAAGAAAAUACAAGUUGUAAUAUUAAGAGAAGCUGUGACGGUGCAGAGAAUCACCCAACAAAGGACCCAUAUCAGAAAAGAUCAAGACGUCUCUAGCUAGUUUUUCAACUAAGACGGCCGUUUCACUGGCAGAGCUCGAUCUUGACACUCCAACAAAUUUCAGUGGUUUUAGCAGGUUUUGCUCCAAGAAUAAGGCAUGCGAUAUGAGGGAAAUUUUGUCUAACUGGAGUUCAAAAGAAGACAAAAAUGGAUGCAUCUAUAUCUGAAGUCUUGACAAUCACUUUUAUGGUCCAAACUCGAUCCAUUCAAAGAGCAAAAACUGAACUUUGAACUCAUAGAGUCCAGACUCUCUCUAAAGAGGUCCAGCACAUACUGAAAUUCUUUUUUGAAAUUUAGCUACUGGACUAUAUAUAGGGUCCCGGCUCUCUAAAUAGGUCUGGACCUGAUUGUGCUUUGAAGCUCCUUUUUCAGCUUGCUUCUUGUUAUCUUAUGCCUUCACAUGACAAGCAACCCAGGUUUUGGUUAUGGGAGAUAUUGAAGCUCAUUUGGCAAGAAAUUUGGGAGACUUAUCUCAGACUUUUUUGAGAGGUGUUCUCUCAUUUUUCUGGAUCGGGUUAGGUUUUCUUUUUCUUUGUUUGUAAUCUUCAAGGUUGUAAAAUGGUUGGAGAUCCAUCCACAGAGGAGCUCUAAGAUCACAUUCAUGGCUAGACUCUCCAGCUAGGGAAAGGUUAGUUUGAUGUAAUUUUUUUAUACAAUGUAUUGGCUUCAAAUUGCACUCUAUCAAAGUUUCUGUGUUUCCAUUUCAUAUCUUCAUUGCAUUUGUUGCUUUAAAUUUUCUUGCUUCGA